rfam:Bifidobacterium bohemicum DSM 22767 Contig1, whole genome shotgun sequence.
AAGGUUCCGGUUCACGUCUAGCCGCAGGGGUUAGGCGACCCGGGUCACC